rnacentral:lncRNA from 1 species
GUUAUUUUAUAAGAGUAAUUUUAUAUUUUUGAUGGAUAAUUGAUACACCUUUUAGGAUAAAACUGUGGUGCAACUGUGGUACCGUGGUACAGUUGCAUCCAAUCGUUGAAUUUUUACUUAUUUAAGUGGACCCCACUUAUUUGAGUGGAUUCAACGACUGGUGCAACUGUGGCACGGUAUUACAAUUAUACUAUAGCCUGACCCCACAUUUUAAGCAAUAAAACUUCAAUAAAUUUAAAUUUUUGCAGUAUUCUUUUAUAAUCGAAUAAUUUUUGGAUGGAUAACUAAAAUGGUCCUUUUUUUGUUAUUCAUAGACUUUGUUAGCAGGAAGAAUAAAAAAGACGUCCACUACUCAAUCAACUAGAUGUCAUUUCAGGACGUCUUAUUGCAUUUUAUUUUUGUUCUCAUUUUUCGGUGUAUAAUUAAUGUUCACACGGAACCUGAGAUGCUGCAAAACUAUAGCUAGUUUUAAACUUUUAACUUCUAUUAAAUUAUCGCUGGGGUGUGUAAUAAUAUUCUGGUGGCAUCAAGCAGUCAAAAAAAUAAGCUUAAAGGUACCACCUCUCUCAUACGUCAUACAUUCACCAAUUUUGUGGAUUUCACCAAUAAGCUUAAAGAUAAUUACUUUUCGUCAAAGGAGAAAGAGAAAGAAAGCAAACGAAGAUAAGGUUUUUUUUUUUUUUUUUUGAAUUUGAUUAAGCAUCAUGUUACUGUAUUACACAUAUAUUUAUAAAUAAUAACAUAUUAUUACACUGAUAUUUAUAAUCAGAUAUAUACUUAAGACUUAUAUUAUUACAUUUUUAUUUUAUAAAGUACAUAUUCAGCCAAAUAUCUCUCGUGAGAGAGGGAUGUCUCUACUCCACUCGCAUUUCGCAAGGGAGAAAGACGUUAUAAAUAAUCUCCACAUAAUUAUAAUUAAUUGAGGGAGUUUGAGUAUGUGGGGACUCGAACCAUUGCCCUCAUCAUCAUUCUUGACUUUAAGAGCAAUAGUUCACCAUAGGACUAUAAGCCCAAGUGGCGAAGAUAAGAUUAAAUGCGCUUCAAACUACUUAAUUAUUACUUUAAUGUUAUCUUAAUUUACAUUUGCAAGUAAUACUGGCGACAAAUGCAUUGUCACGCAUCAAAUUAACUCGCCUGUUUGGUCCUUUUUGUUGGCUUUAUGCAUAGAUUUUUAAUAACAGAGAUCUUUUCUAAUUGAAAGCUAGCUUUACGUAAAGUUCAUUCAAUAAUCUCGUAAAAAUAAAUUAAACCUUUGCAUGUACCUGAGAAGUUAUAUAAUAAUAUUUUGUAAGCUCUCACAUGCACAAACAAAGGUACAUUAUACAAAUUAUAGUGGGUUACCAAAGUUAAUUUUCAGACAGAUGAUAGGAUUCUUUUGAACUUUGAAACGUCAAUCGUCAUCAUUGAGGCUACUAUCUGAUGUCAACAGUCACAAACAAAGAAUCUUAAUCAAAUCUUCUUUUGCACCUAAUUUAUUUAUUACGCCAAGUUUAGCAUACCACCUUUUAUUCUCGUGGUUCACACACAUAUCAUAAUCUUUUUGGGGUUAAUAUCGCAUCAGAUUCACCCAGGUGGCAGCCUAAAAUGGUCGACCAUACGUUGUGGGCCCUCUUCAUAAUUUACAUUUUUUUUUUUUGGGAAAUGACGCUCCCUAGUUUGGAUUAGUUAAACCUCAGUAUCGAUAUGGCUCAUUCGUGGAAAAUCUUUGUUCCAUUUUUUUUUUCUAUUAACUUUGUCCCUUCUGAUCUUAUAUGAUACUAUGAAAUGAUUUGAAUAACCUUCUAAAGAUGAAAAUAGUAUAAUUUUUUUUUAAUGAAAGGAAAGCAGUUUCAAAUUGAACGUUGUUAACAUAAUUUGACUUGUAUAUGAGUAUGCAGGACCACUAAAUAUAGGACAAAUUAUUUAAUUUUGGAGCUAAUAAAAAGAAAUUCCAUUCCAUCAAUUGGUACAAUAAUAACUUGUUCAACAAAAACUCAAACAAUCCACAUAAAGAUCACAUUAUGAGCGCAUUUGGCAGCUUGCAUUACACUACUGCAAUGUAUGAAAAGACUAUUUUUGUGCUAACCCAUAUUUGAUUGCAAUUUCUAAUUGUAUUGCACUGUAUUAAAAAUAUGACUAAUACAACAAAAGAGGUAUAAAAUAAAUUGAUAGGGUAAAGUUUAAGUUGUAUUUGCAUUAAAACAUUAUUUACAUUUUAA